AGAGUUUGAUCAUGGCUCAGAUUGAACGCUGGCGGCAGGCCUAACACAUGCAAGUCGAACGGUAACAGGAAAAAGCUUGCUUUUUUGCUGACGAGUGGCGGACGGGUGAGUAAUGUCUGGGAAACUGCCUGAUGGAGGGGGAUAACUACUGGAAACGGUAGCUAAUACCGCAUAACGUCGCAAGACCAAAGAGGGGGACCUUCGGGCCUCUUGCCAUCGGAUGUGCCCAGAUGGGAUUAGCUUGUUGGUGGGGUAACGGCUCACCAAGGCGACGAUCCCUAGCUGGUCUGAGAGGAUGACCAGCCACACUGGAACUGAGACACGGUCCAGACUCCUACGGGAGGCAGCAGUGGGGAAUAUUGCACAAUGGGCGCAAGCCUGAUGCAGCCAUGCCGCGUGUAUGAAGAAGGCCUUCGGGUUGUAAAGUACUUUCAGCGGGGAGGAAGGGAGUAAAGUUAAUACCUUUGCUCAUUGACGUUACCCGCAGAAGAAGCACCGGCUAACUCCGUGCCAGCAGCCGCGGUAAUACGGAGGGUGCAAGCGUUAAUCGGAAUUACUGGGCGUAAAGCGCACGCAGGCGGUUUGUUAAGUCAGAUGUGAAAUCCCCGGGCUCAACCUGGGAACUGCAUCUGAUACUGGCAAGCUUGAGUCUCGUAGAGGGGGGUAGAAUUCCAGGUGUAGCGGUGAAAUGCGUAGAGAUCUGGAGGAAUACCGGUGGCGAAGGCGGCCCCCUGGACGAAGACUGACGCUCAGGUGCGAAAGCGUGGGGAGCAAACAGGAUUAGAUACCCUGGUAGUCCACGCCGUAAACGAUGUCGACUUGGAGGUUGUGCCCUUGAGGCGUGGCUUCCGGAGCUAACGCGUUAAGUCGACCGCCUGGGGAGUACGGCCGCAAGGUUAAAACUCAAAUGAAUUGACGGGGGCCCGCACAAGCGGUGGAGCAUGUGGUUUAAUUCGAUGCAACGCGAAGAACCUUACCUGGUCUUGACAUCCACAGAACUUUCCAGAGAUGGAUUGGUGCCUUCGGGAACUGUGAGACAGGUGCUGCAUGGCUGUCGUCAGCUCGUGUUGUGAAAUGUUGGGUUAAGUCCCGCAACGAGCGCAACCCUUAUCCUUUGUUGCCAGCGGUCCGGCCGGGAACUCAAAGGAGACUGCCAGUGAUAAACUGGAGGAAGGUGGGGAUGACGUCAAGUCAUCAUGGCCCUUACGACCAGGGCUACACACGUGCUACAAUGGCGCAUACAAAGAGAAGCGACCUCGCGAGAGCAAGCGGACCUCAUAAAGUGCGUCGUAGUCCGGAUUGGAGUCUGCAACUCGACUCCAUGAAGUCGGAAUCGCUAGUAAUCGUGGAUCAGAAUGCCACGGUGAAUACGUUCCCGGGCCUUGUACACACCGCCCGUCACACCAUGGGAGUGGGUUGCAAAAGAAGUAGGUAGCUUAACCUUCGGGAGGGCGCUUACCACUUUGUGAUUCAUGACUGGGGUGAAGUCGUAACAAGGUAACCGUAGGGGAACCUGCGGUUGGAUCACCU
rnacentral:rRNA from 2 species